ACUACCGGUGCUUUWUGAUGCGCUCUAAAAMAGNNNNNWUGUUUGGGAAUGCAGCGCAAAAUGGKUGGUAAAUUCCAUCUAAAGCUAAAUAUUGGCGAGAGACCGAUAGCGAACAAGUACCGUGAGGGAAAGAUGAAAAGCACUUUGSAAAGAGAGUUAAACAGUACGUGAAAUUGUUGAAAGGGAAACGCUUGAAGUCAGUCGCGUCUGGCGGAACUCMGCCUUGNAUUUGCUUGGNGCACUUUCCGUUUGAVGGGCCAGCAUCAAUUUUGGCCGCCGGAUAAAGUUCAGUGRAAUGUGGCACCUUCGGGUKUGUUAUWGCCUCUGUUCGCAUACGGCGGCUGGGAUUGAGGUCUGCAGCACGCCUUUUGGCCGGGGUUCG
rnacentral:rRNA from 1 species